rnacentral:rRNA from 1 species
AGCGAACGCUGGCGGCAGGCCUAACACAUGCAAGUCGAACGAACCCUUCGGGGUUAGUGGCGGACGGGUGAGUAACACGUGGGAACGUGCCUUUAGGUUCGGAAUAACUCAGGGAAACUUGUGCUAAUACCGAAUGUGCCCUUCGGAGGAAAGAUUUAUCGCCUUUAGAGCGGCCCGCGUCUGAUUAGCUAGUUGGUGAGGUAAUGGCUCACCAAGGCUACGAUCAGUAGCUGGUCUGAGAGGAUGACCAGCCACAUUGGGACUGAGACACGGCCCAAACUCCUACGGGAGGCAGCAGUGGGGAAUCUUGCGCAAUGGGCGAAAGCCUGACGCAGCCAUGCCGCGUGGAUGAUGAAGGUCCUAGGAUUGUAAAAUCCUUUCACCGGUGAAGAUAAUGACUGUAGCCGGAGAAGAAGCCCCGGCUAACUUCGUGCCAGCCGCCGCAGUAAAAC